rnacentral:rRNA from 1 species
ACUCCUACGGGAGGCAGCAGUAGGGGAAUAUUGGUCAAUGGGCGGAAGCCUGAACCAGCCAUGCCGCGUGCAGGAAGACGGCCCUCUGGGUUGUAAACUGCUUUUAUACGGGAAGAAAAUGGCCUUGCGAGGCAAAUUGACGGUACCGUAGGAAUAAGCCACGGCUAACUACGUGCCAGCAGCCGCGGUAAUACGUAGGUGGCGAGCGUUAUCCGGAUUUAUUGGGUUUAAAGGGUCCGCAGGCGGACGUAUAAGUCAGUGGUUGAAAGCCUACAGCUUAACUAGUCAGAACUGCCAUUGAUACUGUAUGUCUUGAAUUCGGUCGAAGUGGGCGGAAUGUGUCAUGUAGCGGUGAAAUGCAUAGAUAUGACACAGAACACCGAUAGCGAAGGCAGCUCACUAGGCCUGAAUUGACGCUCAGGGACGAAAGCGUGGGGAGCGAACAGGAUUAGAU